GGGGAUUUAGCUCAGUGGUUCUGGAGCCUGCCUAGCAAGCGCAAGGUCCCGAGUUCGAUUCCCGGUACCCCCC
rfam:Heterocephalus glaber contig203108, whole genome shotgun sequence.